rnacentral:rRNA from 1 species
AGAGUUUGAUCCUGGCUCAGGACGAACGCUGGCGGCGUGCUUAACACAUGCAAGUCGAGCGGAAAGGCCCUUCGGGGUACUCGAGCGGCGAACGGGUGAGUAACACGUGAGCAACCUGCCCCUGGCUCUGGGAUAGCCUCCGGAAACGGGGAUUAAUACCGGAUAUGACCUGGGUUCUCCUGGACCCGGGUGGAAAGUUUUUCGGCCAGGGCGGGGCUCGCGGCCUAUCAGCUUGUUGGGGGGGUGACGGCCCACCAAGGCGACGACGGGUAGCCGGCCUGAGAGGGCGACCGGCCACACUGGGACUGAGACACGGCCCAGACUCCUACGGGAGGCAGCAGUGGGGAAUAUUGCGCAAUGGGCGGAAGCCUGACGCAGCGACGCCGCGUGGGGGAUGAAGGCCUUCGGGUUGUAAACCUCUUUCAGCAGGGACGAAGCGUGAGUGACGGUACCUGCAGAAGAAGCGCCGGCUAACUACGUGCCAGCAGCCGCGGUAAUACGUAGGGCGCAAGCGUUGUCCGGAUUUAUUGGGCGUAAAGAGCUCGUAGGCGGCCUGUCGCGUCUGCUGUGAAAUCCCGGGGCUUAACCCCGGGCGUGCAGUGGAUACGGGCUGGCUGGAGGCAGGCAGGGGAGAAUGGAAUUCCCGGUGUAGCGGUGAAAUGCGCAGAUAUCGGGAGGAACACCGGUGGCGAAGGCGGUUCUCUGGGCCUGUUCUGACGCUGAGGAGCGAAAGCGUGGGGAGCGAACAGGAUUAGAUACCCCAGUAGUCC